rnacentral:rRNA from 1 species
UACAGGGGGUGCAAACGUUGCUCGGAAUCAUUGGGCGUAAAGCGCACGUAGGCGGUUCGUUAUGUCGGAUGUGAAAGCCCUUGGCUUAACCGAGGAAGUGCAUCCGAAACUGGCGAGCUAGAGUACUAAAGAAGAUCGCGGAAUUCCCGGUGUAGAGGUGAAAUUCGUAGAUAUCGGGAGAAACACCGGUGGCGAAGGCGGCGAUCUGGGUAGAUACUGACGCUGAGGUGCGAAAGCGUGGGGAGCAAACAGG